rnacentral:lncRNA from 1 species
UUCAUUGGGCUAUGUUUCUUGACCCUGUAAAAGUUCAUUAUGUUCACGUCGAGUCAAGAUAGACAAAAUUAAACUUCAUUUUGGUCCAUUAAAGUAAUUAAGUAAAGCACUCAUCUGAAAUUAGGUAGCGAUUUUGCUUUCACUGAUUAACCACUUUGUAGUUUGCAGGUUAAACUUAUGCCUUCUAUUUUCAGUUGUACAACUAUACUGGUGGUCUCCUGUUUGUUGAUUUUCUUCAACUUUUCGUAGAUGAAUUCCGACGCGGCUCUACAGAAAAGGAUACGGAGCACAAAGUAAGGGGAUUUUCACAUAUAAAUGGGGUCCUUGGGUAUUGAAAAUGACAGAAAUAUUAUGUGUGGGGGUUUGCAUAGUGAGGCUUAGAUGGAUUACAUUUUUCCUUUUUAAGAACCAAAUUGGAACUUGAAAUAUCUGGCUGGAGGUUUUGGGCCAUACAAGUCCAGAAUUGCAGAUGUGUUCAUUGAACUCAAUAGUAAUGCAGAGCUCUCAAUCUGUUUUAUUCAUUUUGUUGGUGCGCUAAAUUAACUCUAACCCUUUUGUAUUAUUACUUCCCAAUUCAUCGUUUCCCACCCCCCCCCCCCUCCCCCCAACAAAGGAAAAACAUUUGUUUUUGGGCCGGUCCAUAAAAUUAAAGGAAAAUUAAUGAAAAGGGCUUGAAAACUUUGAGUUUUAAUGAUAAGGACAAAAUAAAGGGUAAAGUGAAUAGUACCAUGAUUGAUUUUUUAGUGUAAAAAUGUGGUUUUUCGUUAAAGUGAACAGUACCGGGUGCUUUUCGUUAAAGUUCUCUAAAAUUAAAUAUCAAAAUACAAAAAACAACUUACAAUAUAUAUCGUCAUCGGGGUUUAUCUUGAUUUCUGUGGGGAAAAUGGGGGGUUAACUGUAAUAUCUCAGAUUAAUUAUGAAUUGUCUAUGAAUCUAAUUACCAAUCGUGGAAUUCAUAAAAUUUAUCCAGAGAGAGAGAGAGAGAAAUCCCAGCAUCUUCUAUGAAAUCCAUAAAAAUUAUACCAGCAUAACAAGGAUAUUAGCAGAAACACAAUGACUCUGUACUAAUUAAAAAAUAAAAAACAUAGUUCAUAUGCAAAUCUAUGGUGACCUAGGAUAAACAUGGUUGCUGAUGACCUUCUUGGUAUCUGAGUCUGAACCAGAGCAAAACCAUUUGACAAUUUGAUCAAGCAUCAUUCUUUUCACUAACCUCUUCUUCACAGGGAAAACACUUCCAGCUUUUGGCUUGAAAAUCCAUGGCUCAGCCUUGUUGUGGAGUUCCACCAUUUGUUCUUGUUGAGAUGGGUUCUUCAACUUCAACUUCAUCAUCUGCUCUUCCUCCACUGCUUCCGAAGCCUUCUUCUUCAUUGCCAUCUAUAACUUUCUCUUUCUUUUUUUUUUUUUAAAUGUGUGCUUGGAUGUGCUAUAUAUGAAGUUAU